CCUUUUUUUAGGUUAACAUUUUGAUUUUUAUUUCACUUUUUAAUUCCACUUUAAUAUUUCAAAUUUGGCUCCUUCUAUUGUUUCAAUUUACACCCCUUUCUGGUUUCCCCUUGGUUUCUCUCGUCUGUUACCGCCAUUGUCGUUGACCUCUUGAGUAUUACACUAUUUCUGGUUUUGUUUGAUUAUUAUCAUUUUUUUUAAUGGACAAUUAUUGUUAAUAUUUUAUUGAAUCGUGUUUUAUUGUGUGUAUAUUACAUGUGCACAUUGCCAUAUUGUUUAAUCUCGUUAAUUUACAUCACUAUUACAUGUUUCUCUGUGCAAUUCUGCCAGCUACUCAACCUUGGUGUUAUUUUUUUUGUUUGUUUGUUAGAGGAAUCAAGGCAAAAGAUGAAAGAUUGAGAAUGGCAAAUUACCAUUCUGUUUAUCUGUAAUCACACAUUGUUGGUUAUUCAUUGAGUUAAUCUUGGAUUACUUGUAACUUUAGUCGCAUUUUGAGCUCAUCAUAAUUUCAUCAUUAUAUGUCAUCUUUUACUUGCAAUUUGGGUGAUAAACGUUAUUUGUGUUAGUGUGCUUCAUUUAUAUUGAUCAUCAAGUGAUUUUUACCUGUAAUCUUUUUUACACUAUGUUUUUAUCCAUGUUCCAAUCUCUUGUCACCUGAAAUCGAAAGCUCAAUGAUUGUCACGCUUUGUCAACCGUGUGACGGUCAUAAUCAGUCGACAACUAUUCUUUUUCUCUCUUAUUAUGUGAUAUAAAUUUUUGCUGAUACGUUGUUGGGUGUUGUAAACUGUUUUGAUUGCUUUCUCAAAAAGUGUUGAUUCUUUUUUUUGACAUUUUUUUCUCACGAUCACCACGGUUGAUGCGUCAACUGAGCUGUGUAUGACGGACCUGACCUUGAAUCAGCUGAUUACGAUUAAUUAAGACAACCUGGUGACAGGUUCAGGGUUAACUAGUUAAACCACAACUUGCUGAUUUAUUAUGAUUUCAACUUGUGUUGUCUAGUUGAGAAAAGCGCCAAAAUUGGGUUUCAUUUGAAGAUCAAGAAAUUUGAAUACAUACGAGCACAAAAUGAUUAUCUUAAUCUAAAUAUCGAUUAACUGGACAAGUAUUUUACUGAUUUGGAAUUCAAGUAACAAAAUCAAUUUCGUGCUGGUUAUGGCUAUAGAUAAUAUGGAUAAAUAAGCUGCCAUUUCAUAGCUGGCAAUAACUCAGUUCAACGUUACAAGCGACAAUUGAGGUUUGAAUUGGUCUUGGAUUUUACCAUCGAGAAUCGUGGUGAAUAAACUGAAAGUACUGAUUAUUGGUUUAGCUGAUUGGUUGGAUAGGAACAAAGAAGUCGAAUUAAUGGAGAGAAGAAUGAAAUUUAAAGUUAAUUGGAUUGAUUCUGCUGCUGAUGCUUUGUUUCCAGUGUUUUACAAGUUAGUGUUAAACACGAAAACAAAAAGUUGGAUCAGGAGAAUUGGAAGAAAACCAGGAAAAAUGAUAAAGAGAGAAAUUAAAAGAAGAGAAAUACAAUUCUUAGUCGAUAUUUGCUGUUUAACUUGAAUUGCAAUUUGAAUAAUCGGCACAAGUAACAUUAUGGUUUUCUUGCUAAGGUUAACAAGUUGACAAUCAAGUACAAUACACUUUUUGGUACCGGCUCAAUGAACCAAUUAUUAGCUGAUUGGUCGGUUAAUUCCUUAAUUUGGUUCAUCUACUUGCUGAUUGAAAGGCAAAAGUUUCUUGUCUUUCAUUAGUACAUGAUUCCCAUCAUCACUCAAGCUGAAUACAAAUGAUUCUUGCAAAUCUAUUCUUAAUUGUCAUUUUUAAAUCAUGGAGCAAAAACAGCUACUUUGCCUGAUCAUUAUAAUAAUCACUAUCAUCUUAAUUGCGAUCACAAUUAAGUUAAAUGGAGAUUCUUUAAUUUUAGAGUUGCUACUUUUAUCGUCACUCUUCUUGUCAUUAUCAACAUCAACUCAAAGUUAAAUUUUUCAAUUAACCAACCAACAACAUGAUUUUACAAGCUAUUAAAAAAGAUGAACACAAAAAAUGCGUCAACUUUCAACUCUAACAGUAGAACAAUCUUCUCAAUUAACUUCAAUCAAUGAUGAUCAAAGCAAAAGACAACUAGACACAUCAAUCCACAUAAAAGUCAGAUUUUUAUGAAUUGACCGUAAUUCAGUGUUCAAUUUUCAUUCAAUUGUCUUCACAUUCAAUGGUUAACUUCAACCUCAAUCACCAAUUUAAAGGAAUCAUCUUCACAAUCAUCUUCACCGACAAGAACAUGAAAGAAAAAAGAGAGAGACGAGAAAAAAACAAUCAACCGUCAUCAUUUUCAUCUCAAUAUAUAUUUAUAAGGCUGUUAUUUCCGUUUUAUGGUCAUUACAAGUAGCUUUUUGAAAUGACCAUUUCCGUUUGAGAUGAUAGUCUGUCUUCUCUGUGAAUUGGGCGAAAGUAAAAAGAAAGAGAAGGUGAAUAAGUAUGGAAAAGAUGAAAAUGUCGGAAAACUGGUUAACCUUGAUUUGACCUUGUCUUUGCGUCGACUUGAUUACUUUAAACUCUUGAUAUAAACAAGAAUGGUCUCGUGAUGUGCAUUCAAUCCUGAAUUUUGGUGAUUCUAUGGAUCCUUCAAAGAUAAUCACUGAUUAACUUAUCCUCCAACUUGCUCAAUGAGUCAUUCAACUUUGAAAUCUGAGUAUUUUGGUGAACAUUUGGUGAACAAUUGACUCUGUCAAAUAUGUAAAUACCAAGUAAAUGAGAUGAAAAAACAAGAAAAGAGUUUCCAGAUGAUGUCGAAGUAAAAGUUGCUGAUUAAUAUUUUUUUAAAUGUGCAAACCGUUAACCGAUUCAGGACUCGAUGUUGAUGUUUAAUGAAAAAAGAUUGCCAAUGAAAAUGAUACAUGAAGUCGAAACCAUAUUCAGCCCGAGAAACACAAAUACAGUUUAAGCAAAGAGACAACUGAAAAGGCCGAAAAAAGUUUAUAAUCUGUUGAGUAAAGACCAAUCCUUAUUCAGUAAAUCUCUGUGCAAACAGAAUGCUGGUUAUCUCAAAUUAUUUGCAAAUUUACCUUUCCUUUUAUUCGCACAUAAAUAUUGUCAGAUAUUGGAAGAAGAGCGCAAAAAAGUUGACAGAAAGCAAAAAUGGUAAAAAAGUACCAAAAAUGACAGUUUUUCAUUUCUUUUAUCAUAAUCAUCACCAUUGCCAGUUUAAAAACAUUUGGCGAUUUACCUUUUUUAUUACACAAGAAGAAACAGCGACAAGUAAAGGAAAAGGAAAUUUGAAAAUGGAGAUGAAAUUUGAUGAAGCAUUCUAAUUAAAGGAAUGAACCUGAAUAGAUGAUUUAUUGAAAAUGAAAUAGAUGAAGGAAACAAAAGGUGAAUAAAAUUUGCCCCAAUGUUUUGAUUCUAAUGUCUAUUGAAUGAGAACAUUUUGGUGACAAGUUUAAGAAAAGCAAAAGACUUUAUCAAAGUAAGAUGAAUAUUAUUGUUAGUAGUUAGCAGCCGGCAACUCGUAAUCACAUACUAUUAAUCAUAUGUGCCAAAGUGCUCAAAUGGUAAGGACAGAUGUCAAAAGUAACUUGCAUUUCCGUUUUACUAUAAACACAUUAAACUUAUUUUCGGUUCAAUAUUAUUUCUCCUUUUUUCAUCCUCAUCUUCAUCUUCAUCUUAAACUGAUUUGUAUGCAAAAGAAGAAGAAGAAGAAAGAAGAAGAAGAAGAUUGUAUUUGUUUAAUAUAAAAACGUUAACCGUUAUUUUCAUCAUUUCCUUCAUCUCUUUGCAUCUUGAUCCAUUUAACCCAAUCGAUGAGCUCUUAAUCGAUUUAAUAUCGAUUAUUACUCUUAUUAUUUUCAUUAUUACCAGAAAAAAAGAGAGACAGAGAGAGAAAGAAACUGUACUUGACAAAGAAAAUAAAUUAACCCAAACGCCAUUUUGAUUCUGAAGCUAAAAUAAUCAAAGCAGAAUAGGUUUUGUGUUAUUCGAUGCGAAUCCAAAUCUUUACAAUUCUAUCCAUUAUACUCUGUAUGUAGAUUAGCCUGAUGAUUAUAAUAAUGUUAAUGAUAACCAGAAAUACAAACUUUGCUUCUCUUGUU